rnacentral:hammerhead_ribozyme from 1 species
AUCCGGCUGACGAGUCCCAUCUAUGACGAAAUGCGCAUCCUGGAU